GAUGAACGCUGGCGGCGUGCCUAAUACAUGCAAGUCGAGCGAACGGACGAGAAGCUUGCUUCUCUGAUGUUAGCGGCGGACGGGUGAGUAACACGUGGAUAACCUACCUAUAAGACUGGGAUAACUUCGGGAAACCGGAGCUAAUACCGGAUAAUAUUUUGAACCGCAUGGUUCAAAAGUGAAAGACGGUCUUGCUGUCACUUAUAGAUGGAUCCGCGCUGCAUUAGCUAGUUGGUAAGGUAACGGCUUACCAAGGCAACGAUGCAUAGCCGACCUGAGAGGGUGAUCGGCCACACUGGAACUGAGACACGGUCCAGACUCCUACGGGAGGCAGCAGUAGGGAAUAUUCCGCAAUGGGCGAAAGCCUGACGGAGCCACGCCGCGUGAGUGAUGAAGGUCUUCGGAUCGUAAAACUCUGUUAUUAGGGAAGAACAUAUGUGUAAGUAACUGUGCACAUCUUGACGGUACCUAAUCAGAAAGCCACGGCUAACUACGUG
rnacentral:rRNA from 1 species